rnacentral:lncRNA from 12 species
GAGCAUUUCGUUUAAUCCUCUUGACCACCCAUGAAAUAGGCUUUAUUAUCAUUAUUGUUACUUCUAAUUUUCCAGUUUAGGAGACCUUCGUGUAGGUGAAGUCAGAGAGGUGUCUGUCUGCAUCACGCAGGCUGUGGUUUGAAUGAGGUUUGCAUAGCACUAAAGCCCCUGCUCUGAAAUAAGCUGUUCUCCUUUCUGUGUAUUAAAGGAAAGUGCUGUUCUCAGAACCGUAGGUCUUAAAUCUGUAUGAAUAUGAAAAUAAUCAUUAUGUUAAUUUUUUCCCCGAAAAAUUUAUCCCAUGAAAUGGGCAAUGUUAAAAUGUCUAUAAAUUUGUUUGAAAUUUCUGUUGCCUUCUAUUGCUUUUAGUUAAUUUGCAUUAAUUUUUUAAUCCAUUAUUUUCACGUACUUUCUAAAGGCACCUGUCAUUGCAUGCUCCAAGGCCCCGUGAUUAGCAAGUUGAUGUGUGAAAUGAAAGAAUAAAUGUUCGGAUGAGUUUCCCAAAAGAUGGAUAACCUCUGUCUCUUUGUCUGUCUUUGCAGGACUUGCUGCCUCUUCUGGAGCUUUCCACAGAGUGUCUCAUGUUAUGUUACUUGUCCUAUCUGCAUUUCCUAAUGUUCCCCUCUUUGAGGGAUGUCACAUAGCCCUUCUUUGUUUUUCACAGAAUCAUACCAAGCUUUGGGCCUUGCACACAGUAGAAACUCGGAGCUGGUGGGCAGAGAGCUGGCCGGUGCACGCUGGGACCUGUGCUAGAUGACUGAUGCACGCUUUUGAACAAAUGAAGAGGAAGCUAUUCUUCAGGCAUCAUGGGCAACUGAGCAGAUUUCCCGAAGGAAGAAUCAGGGAGCACGCGAGUCCCCUUUGCGCGGCAGCUGACCUAGAAAGAAGUCACACGUUUGCAAGUCGGAGGCCUAAUCCAUCUCGCGUAGGUAACCAGCUAUUUCCCUCUGCGUCCCGAGGGUCUUC